UACGAGUGCCCCGAGCGUUAUCCGGAAUCAUUGGGCGUAAAGGGUGUGUAGGUGGUAAUGUUAGUCAGCUGUUAAACCCUGGGGCUCAACCCCAGAUCUGUGGCUGAAACGGCAUAACUAGAGGAUGGCAGGGAUGUAUAGAACUCAUGGAGUAGGGGUGAAAUCCGUUGAUAUCAUGGGGAAUACCAAAAGCGAAGGCAGUACAUUGGGCCACUCCUGACACUGAAACACGAAAGCGUGGGUAGCGAAUGGG
rnacentral:rRNA from 1 species